GAAAAGCUUAAGCUGAAAAGAACAUUUUGGGCAUGUGAUCUCAGACUUCUCUUCAACAACCUCAGCACAGUAAAGCAGCAUUGUAAAAAAGAGGAGAAAUAUCAGCAAUAUUUGCCACUGAGCUACAUGCUGAAACAAGUUCUGAACUUCAAAAAAUAUGAGGUUAUGCUGGACAAAGCUUCUGCUGGGACUAAAU